UCGAGAAUAUUCCCCAAUGCGCGAAAGCGUGAGGGAGCGACGCCGCGUGCCAGAUGAAGGCCUUCGGGUUGUAAAUGGCUUUUUUUGAGGACGAACAAAUGACGGUACUCAGAGAAUAAGGGGCUGCUAACUUCGUGCCAGCAGCAGCGGUAAUACGAAGGCCCCAAGCAUUAUCCGGAUUAAUUGGGUGUAAAGGGUCCGUAGGCGGUCGUUCAAGUCGCGCGUUAAAUCGUUGGGCUCAACCCAACGCCUGCAUGCGAUACUGUUCGACUAGAGACUGGAAGAGGUACACGGAAUUGCCGGUGUAGCGGUAGAAUGCGUUAAUAUCGGCAAGAACACCAAAUGCGAAAGCAGUGUACUGGGACAGUUCUGACGCUAAGGGACGAAAGCGUGGGGAGCG
rnacentral:rRNA from 1 species